UCCAUGUAAUCUAGGGGGUGUAGCGAUGAAACCAGGCAGGCGAAGGAGUAAAGGCCAAUGGGCCUGGAUUUCUCAAGCCCAAACAAUACCAAAAGGAAAAACCUGAAGCAACAACACAUUCAGUCCUCACACAAACACGUGAUCGAAAUAUCACUCUCCUUUCUCAAAUUAAACAGGUCUCACCGAAGAUAGAGGCUCCGCCGCGCCGGAGACGGCGGAGCAGUCCCAAUCAUGGAAUUUUGACUACCCAAAACACUCUUGUCCAUCUCCUUAUUCUAAAUCCCUCCCUUAUUUCCAUGAAUUUCUGACCUCGACCUCGAAUCAUAAAAAAAUGCUCAAGAACCCUAAAACAUAAAAAGAAAUUAAAUAGCCAUCGACGCCCGAUUUAGUCUUACGCCUUAGAGCAAAUGCUUCUCUGCAAGAAUACUACGAUAUGGUAUCAAUUUUAUGACGAAAAGAAACAAUGAACUUACCCCAAAAUCGGAGUUUUGCUCCGGCGAUAUAAAUGGAUUGAAGAAGAUGGAUCAGGAAGGCUUCAAAUCAGCCCUAUAAUGAGCUUAGGAUGGUACGACCGAAGGGAGCGGAUGGAGGUCUUUGGAGAUACCAGGAUGGGCUACCAAAAUGAAAGUUUUAUUCCUUUUUUCUUGUGGUUCAAACCAAGUUAUGGAAUAGAAUUAGGGAAUUUCUUUGUAUGGACAUGAUCAUACAGUGAUACAUUUUGUAACCAAUUCAAAUUAUGGAAUACCAAUUACAUGGGUGCAAGCAUAGUAAAUGAACGAAAA